rnacentral:rRNA from 1 species
UAGGGAAUAUUGGACAAUGGGCGAAAGCCUGAUCCAGCCAUGCCGCGUGAGUGAUGAAGGCCCUAGGGUUGUAAAGCUCUUUUGUGCGGGAAGAUAAUGACGGUACCGCAAGAAUAAGCCCCGGCUAACUUCGUGCCAGCAGCCGCGGUAAUACGUAGGGGGCAAGCGUUGUCCGGAUUUACUGGGUGUAAAGGGCGCGCAGGCGGAAUGGAAAGUCAGUGGUGAAAUCCUACAGCUUAACUGUAGAACUGCCUUUGAUACUUUCAUUCUUGAGUUCGGGAGAGAGAGACGGAAUUCCAGGUGUAGUGGUGAAAUACGUAGAUAUCUGGAAGAACACCAGUUGCGAAGGCGGUCUCUUGAUCCGAUACUGACGCUGAGGCGCGAAAGCGUGGGGAGCAAACA